UAGAGACAAGAUGUAUCACUCCAUAGCUAAAACGAAGCGUUCAACACAGGGUGAAAAGAGGAGCUGCAGCAAUGUGCAGUAUGACAAAAAUAUGGUGUUUUUUGAAAAUUAAACCAUGCAAACCUGUUCUGGCACAACCUUUAAAUAGGAUUUUGAACCUCAAAAUGAGCAUAAUACCACCCCUUUAAACACUUUUGUUAAACAUGGUAAACAUAAAGUAUAUUCUAACUGAAAAGUUUCUUGGGUGGGGUUAUUUCAUUUGGCAGGUGACGCACAAACAACAACAACAACAACAACUAAAUCAACAAGAACAAGUGAAAACAGCACAAAAUCAGUUACAGCCACAACAACAACCAAAGAUGGUUCAACAAAACUACACGGUUUGUGGUUCAUCGUUGUGUUUGUAGGAGUUGCAGCACUCUUGUUUGAACUCAUCAGAUGGAAGAAAACUAAAGGAAAAAAACCCCAGAUGGAUGAAAACACUG